rnacentral:rRNA from 1 species
UACCAGCACCCCGAGUGGUCGGGACGUUUAUUGGGCCUAAAGCAUCCGUAGCCGGUUCUGCAAGUCUUCCGUUAAAUCCACCUGCUUAACAGAUGGGCCGCGGAAGAUACUAUAGAGCUAGGAGGCGGGAGAGGCAAGCGGUAGCUCGAUGGGUAGGGGUAAAAUCCGUUGAUCCAUUGGAAGACCACCAGUGGCGAAGGCGGCCUGCUGGGCAGUUGCUGACACUGAGGCGCGACAGCGUGGGGAGCAAACAGGAU